GACGAACGCUGGCGGCGUGCUUAACACAUGCAAGUCGAACGAUGAAGCUAGAGCUUGCUCUGGUGGAUUAGUGGCGAACGGGUGAGUAACACGUGAGUAACCUGCCCCGAACUCUGGGAUAACUGCUGGAAACGGUAGCUAAUACUGGAUACGACCAACGAAGGCAUCUUCGGUUGGUGGAAAGAAUUUCGGUUCGGGAUGGACUCGCGGCCUAGCAGCUUGUUGGUGAGGUAACGGCUCACCAAGGCGACGACGGGUAGCCGGCCUGAGAGGGUGAUCGGCCACACUGGGACUGAGACACGGCCCAGACUCCUACGGGAGGCAGCAGUGGGGAAUAUUGCACAAUGGGCGCAAGCCUGAUGCAGCAACGCCGCGUGAGGGACGACGGCCUUCGGGUUGUAAACCUCUUUUAGUAGGGAAGAAGCGAAAGUGACGGUACCUGCAGAAAAAGCACCGGCUAACUACGUGCCAGCAGCCGCGGUAA
rnacentral:rRNA from 1 species